CGAUGAAGGACAUUCCUACUUGGUCUUUGAACACUCUCAGAAGAAUUGGAGAAACUGAGGAGGAGUUUCAACACCUGGAAAAGAUCUGGGUAGCAAUGGUGUCAAAGUUGUGCAGAGUUGAAGGAAGAAAC